UGACAGGUAUCCCCUUGGGUGGAGU
rnacentral:piRNA from 1 species